GCCCCCAUAGUUAAGUGGAUAUAACAAGGCUUUCCUAAAGCCUAGUCACAGGUUCGAGUCCUGUUGGGGGUA
rnacentral:tRNA from 1 species